AACGAACGCUGGCGGCAGGCCUAACACAUGCAAGUCGAACGCCCCGCAAGGGGAGUGGCAGACGGGUGAGUAACACGUGGGAACGUGCCCAAAGGUUCGGAAUAUUCCCGGGAAACUGGGAGCAAUACCGAAUGUGUCCGCAAGGCGAAAGAUUUAUCGCCUUUGGAUCGGCCCGCGUCGGAUUAGCUAGUUGGUGGGGUAAAAGCCUACCAAGGCGACGAUCCGUAGCUGGUUUGAGAGAACGACCAGCCACACUGGGACUGAGACACGGCCCAGACUCCUACGGGAGGCAGCAGUGGGGAAUCUUGGACAAUGGGCGCAAGCCUGAUCCAGCCAUGCCGCGUGGAUGAUGAAGGCCCUAGGGUUGUAAAAUCCUUUCGUUAGGGACGAUAAUGACGGUACCCAAAGAAGAAGCUCCGGCUAACUUCGUGCCAGCAGCCGCAGUAACAC
rnacentral:rRNA from 1 species